rnacentral:rRNA from 1 species
UACGGGGGGGGUAAGCGUUGUUCGGAAUUACUGGGCGUAAAGGGCUCGUAGGCGGCCAACUAAGUCAUGCGUGAAAUCCCUCAGCUUAACUGGGGAACUGCGUGUGAUACUGGAUGGCUUGGAUUUGGGAGAGGGAUGCGGAAUUCCAGGUGUAGCGGUGAAAUGCGUAGAUAUCAGGAGGAACACCAAUGGCGAAGGCAGCUCGCUGGGACGGUACUGACGCUGAGGCGCGAAGGCGUGGGGAGCAAACAGG